rnacentral:lncRNA from 1 species
GCUGGUCAACAGGCUGGUCAACAGGCUGAUCAACAGGCUGGUCAACAGGCUGGUCAACAGGCUGACCAACAGGCUGGUCAACAGGCUGGUCAACAGGCUGGUCAACAGGCUGGUCAACAGGCUGAUCAACAGGCUGGUCAACAGGCUGGUCAACAGGUUGAACUGCGUCCCAAAUGUCAUCCUAUCCCUUAGUGCACUACUUUUGAUGGCUCUAGUCAAAAGUAGUGCACUUGCAAGGGAAUAGGGGACGCUGAUAUGAAGAGCUCUGGACUGAGAAGAUAAGUAGUCCUAGAGCUCUGCUAUUGGUGGACUGAGAAGAUAAGUAGUCCUAGAGCUCUGCUGUUGGUGGACUGAGAAGAUAAGUAGUCCUAGAGCUCUGCUAUUGGUGGACUGAGAAGAUAAGUAGUCCUAGAGCUCUGCUGUUGGUGGACUCAGAAGAUAAGUAGUCCUAGAGCUCUGCUAUUGGUGGACUGAGAAGAUAAGUAGUCCUAGAGCUCUGCUAUUGGUGGACUGAGAAGAUAAGUAGUCCUAGAGCUCUGCUAUUGGUGGACUGAGAAGAUAAGUAGUCCUAGAGCUCUGCUAUUGGUGGACUGAGAAGAUAAGUAGUCCUAGAGCUCUGCUGUUGGUCCCAAGCCCGACGGGCCCCAGCAUUAUACAUCGGGUUAGGGCCGGGUAAGGCCUUUUUUUUUUUUUCAUCAAUAACUAGGGUACUGGUACGGCUCGGGUAUCAUUAAAUGAUCAUUAAAAUGUUGAAGGUGAGCCAUUUGCGCGUGCUCUGCUGCGCAGUACAGUCAUAUCUGACUAAGAUCAUAACAUGGUGUUAGAAGUGCUUCAACAUUGUCAAAUAUAAAACAGGAGAGAUUAUUUGACAGAAAAUAAUAAUGUUCCUUGAGUGAAAAUUAGCUAACAGCUAACAGCCCUCUCAUAUCUCGUCAUUGAGCAGCCCAAGAGGAGCCGUCGCUAUGGUUACUCACAGACUCAGAGCGCAUGCAGAGCGAGCUGUGUGCAGGGAGCGAGUGACAGACAGAGCAGCUAAUGGAUUUACUAACAGAGGAAGUGAUUUCAGAUUUUGGGCUUCGUGCAUGAAUGGGCCUUAAAUUUGGCAGAAGCAAUUGGGCCUGGGCAGGGUAGGGCCUGAAUGUUGCCUGGCAUUGGUAGAGCUCUGGUUUAAAAUGCAUGCCCGCGCAGGGCUCAAAGUAGUCCUACGGAACCUGAAAUAUAUUCAGACACAAUCAGAGAACAUUCAAAGAUUUACAUUCAAUGACAGGCAGUCAGAGAACAUUCAAACACUUAGAUUCAUUGACAGGCAGUCAGAGAACAUUCAAAGAUUUACAUUCAUUGACAAUAACACUGCUAGUAUACUCAUACAUAGAUAGCCUGAAUACAUUCAUAGGAAAAACAUACUUGAGAGACAUUAUUUUAGAUUGUACUAGCUACAGAUGACAGUCAGACAGUGAGAGGGACAGAACAAAGACAGAUUCAGUGCAGGGUUGGGCGUAGUUUCAUUCUCAACUCAAGGGGUUGAAUUUUGUCCGUUUCAAUUUCAAAUUCAAACCUUGAAUUGUUCAACGCUUGAAUUUAUUUUCUAUAAGAAUUCCUCAUUUCAUGAAUGGACGGAACAGACCCCUUUGCCUAACUGGAGAGGUACACGUACAUUCAUAGUGUGGUCAUUGAGACAUUCCUAGACGUGUGCACAAAGAGACAUUACAGACAUACUGUUCAGAUAGUAGACAUUCAUAGGAUAAGACAUUCAUGUCAUACAGUCUCAAUAGACAUCAAUCAAAUGUAUAAACCUGUGUAGUAUUCUACAACUAUCAUACACACAACUGUCGGUGGUCAAAUAGGCCACGUCCUAAAAGGCACCCCUAUUCCCUACACAGUGCACUACUUUUGACCAGAUCCCCUAUGGGCCCUAAAUACAGUAGGUGCACUAAAUAGGGAAUAGGGUGCAGUUUUGGACACAAACAUAUUCUCUAUCCUCACAAUGACCUAGAUUCACAGUGAGGAGCCUUUCCAGAAAGCAGGAUUAAAUUAGUGAGCUAACUUUGACAAACAGUCAGAUAUCUCGCUUAAUUUUCAGGUAAAUAUUGGGGGGUUUUCUGUUUCAUUUUGAAAGCUAAACUUCAAUAUGUGUUGGUGGUUGUCAAGUCAAUUACAACAUGCUAAUUUCAACUCUCUCUCUCUCUCUCUCUCUCUACAUAUAUAUAUUCAAAACAAAUGCAAUGUCAUUUCUUGAAUAUUUAGGACAGUUCAGGCUAACUCAAUGAUCCUGCUUCCUGCUUCCUGGAAUAGCCCCUUGUACUCAACCCUUUAUUUUUCUUCAAUCUUCCCUCCUUAUCA